CAACUAAGAGAUGACGUCAUUAUUCUGUGACGUUCGAAAAUUAUUAUUUAUUUAUUUAUUUGUAUUGUUUACUUCUUAAAAAUGUGCCUCCGGGAACGUGCCGAAUUUUUUUUAGGUCUAAAAUUGGUCGUUACAAGAAGAGAGGACCCAGGCUAAGGGUUUAUAGAAGCAGGAUAUGCCCAAUUAUAUUUUCUCAAAUGUGUAAACAAAAACAGAACGAGUACGUUUAAAAUCCACUCCAAUAAAAUUUAUAGCACCAACCAAGUCGCCAACGAUGCUAAAGAAACGUAUAUAUCAAUAACUCCAGACAAUUGAAUAACAAACUCUUCAAAACGAAAACCUCCAUUUUCACCUUCAUCGUCUGGUUCUGGUAUUAAACUGGUAACUCCAGCUACAAUGUUAAAGUUUAUUUUGUUUAACAGCACCAUGUCAAACAUUUGGUAAUUCGAAUAUUUGUAUGCACUUUCCACAGAAAGGAAACCACAUUAUUAAUAUCAUCAAGGACUUUGACCAGUUGUGGAAAGAUAAAAAAAAUCCAAUCAGUUGAAUGGAUCCACCUAGGUGAUUCGAUCCUGCAAUGCAAGCACCUCAGGCGAGCUCUCAACCGAAUGAAUAUUCAGUAUACAAAGACACGUCAUUGGUAUGAUAAGGAUAACUUUUCAGCUAUGAGAUAUUGUGAAAAUACAAAGGAGUUUUUCUGGACUGGACGCAUGUUGCUAGUGGGUAGAUUUAUUAGAUUAAUGCGGGGAUUUGCUCACAGAGACAUGGCUAAGCAACAUGAAGCACAGAAAGGAAACUACUCCACACACAAUAGUAACAUCAAUUUUGCUGCGAUUCAACACGACUACCAGCCUUAAAAUCUUGACAUGUCAAGAAGAGCUGAACCAGGGAUCAUUUUGACAUGUCAAUAAUAGCUAAACCAGGGAUCAUUUUGACAUGUCAAUAAUAGCUGAACCAGGAAUCAUUUCGACAUGUCAGUAAUAGCUGAACUAGGGAUCAUUUUGACACGUCAAGAAUAGCUGAACCAGGGAUCAUUUUGAAAAACAUAGGCUUAAACUCUACUCUAGGAAUUAUAAUUCAGCAUCAGACGUUGUUAUGUUUAAUGGUAAAACAACUGUUUCAAAAUCGGCACCUGUCUACCUUUUAGAUCUUGAAGACGAACCUAGAGUGUUGUUUGGAGUCUGAAAAACUGGAAAUCCUUAAUGUCUUGCAAAGACUCAGUCUUAGACUACUUGAUAUUCUUUAUUAAUAUCAAACUCGACAAAUUAUCCACAUUACUGAAGUACGCAACAAAUCCUCUCUCAAAUCGUUCUUCUGAUUUCAUUGAAAAAAACCUUCGUUAUUAUCUGCGAUCGUUAAGACAAAUAACUAAAUAAUAGUAACUAAUAGUAACUAGUAGUAACUAAUAAUAAUAAUAAUAACUAAAACUAAAGCCAAAA